UUGACAGCUCCAGUUCGCUCGCACUGCUCGCAUCUCUCACACUCGCAUGCAGAUUUUCUUUUCAGUCAGUUCAAAAACUCGAAACGCAUGUGUUGCCUCCGCCUGUGUGAUAAGGGGAAGAAAGAAAAAGUGCGCUCCAGUUGUUGAAAACUGCGGAAGCUGAUCCGGUUUAGAGGUUGAGAUACUAAUUCCUCGUCUGGUUUGCGAUUGCACGGAUCCAACUAUAGAAUGAGGACUACCCAACUAGCACGAUAUGCUAUUCGUUUAAACUACGGACAGGUGAAUGAAUUUGCCGGUCAGAAGUCAUCCGAUCGUACUGCAGUCCGUUCGGCAGCUUUGCUAGCGGCCCUCGGAAUCGGCCUGUCCUCGUUCAGUAUGAAACAAAUGCUCACCAAGCAGACGGCAAAGAGAAAGUUCUAGACAACCCCUUCGCACGGACUUCAACAACAAUUGACAAUGGGACGAAAUACUUUGGAAAUCAUUAAAAAAAAAACUGCAACUGAUCUUUAAAUGUAACUAGGAAGGACAAAAAUCAGCGCCAGGUCUGUGAGUGUAUGCUAGCAAAGAUGUGUUGAGAGUAUGAGAUUGUGCUGUCCGGUUAUAUGAGUACGAAUGGUUUUUACGGGCGUUAUUUCCAAACUUUUUCUCAGUUAUAGUUGAUUUUUGGUAACGUCAAUCAGUGAUUAUAUGUAGAGAGUUUACGAAAAGAUGUUAUUCCGGUGCAAUUUAUCUGCUCCGAAAUAAUACAUUAGUUCCUCUUGUUCGCUCUAGCUUGGCUUCUUUACUUUCAACCAUCGUCUCAAGAGAUAGUUUCAGAAUAUUGUUCAGUUUUUUUAAAUCAUUUGUAACUAUUUGCAACGUGGUUUCAAUUCCUACAACUCUCUGAUUCCUACACAAAUCUAGGGUAUGUUUUAUUUCUUAAGCAUUUUCAUUUCACAUUUAGAAUACAUGCAUCCGUAAUCAUUCAUUCUAUUGUGUUGAUAAUUCGUUUUUAUACAGUUUCUAUACCGAAAUAAAAGCGUAACCAUUGUUUUGCCAACAUAUUUUUAGAAUAUUUUAUAUAAUUUAAACUAGUUUUAAAAUCAUGAUCUUAUGAAAAAAAAAAGUUGUGUGUAAGAAAGUCCACAAUCGAUAAAAAUUGUUAAGUAAGAUAAUGGUUACGUCAUUUUUUUUCGUUGCUCUGGACUCUUGAGUUAGUUGAUCGUGAAGAUUUAGUGCGAUGAGAGCAUUCGUUUUCUAGUGAAAAGUGAGGAACUUGAAAGAUUCAAUGAAAGCCAUCUUGAAUGUAAUGAUAAA